rnacentral:tRNA from 1 species
CAUUAAGAAGCUAUGAAUCAGCAUUAGCCUUUUAAGCUAAAGAAAGAGGGACCCCUCCCUCCUUAAUGA